ACGCAAUCCUGAGUUCUAUACGACAACAUGCGUAGUAAGCGCCAUUUGUUACUCAGCUGUGUGGAGGAAGGAGAAAGCUUGCACGAUAUAUGAACUACUAAUUCCUAUCCGGAAAACGACGUUUUUGCGGGUACAAUUUAAAACGUCUAGCCCUAUGACUACAACGGAAACCGGAUCUACGGAGGAAGAGCAUCGCUUUCUCAACAUGAUCAUGGACAUUUGCGAGGUAAAGGAAUCGGAUCUAUUUUUAAGGAUCAACAACCACUAACUUUCCCGCAUAGUUGGAUGUCCUCCGCAAAGCUUCAACGUUCUUCACAUAAUCGCUGUGCCAAUUUACAGAAGAAGCUCUUUGAUAAUGCUGGUACUCAAUCGGCAAGCACUUCUUUAUUGUAAGUCUAUGACGUCGUCUAGAAACACCGAGUUCCGUGCCGCUCGUUGAUGUUCUUUCCCCGGUGGUGAUUCAUCUGAAACCAGUCGGGUAGUUUCGAUUACGUAGCCGCACCUUUCGCCAUGCCAUUUCACAAGAUCGGAAGGUUAUAUUCAAGACGACAUGCUGCACCCGGCUGCUAUUUCCCUCACCAAUUACACGGAUGGCUCGAUCAGGACAACGAAUCUUCACUAUAUAUAGGCCUCCAAUAGGCGAACAAUGCUAUGUUGAAUUUAUGCCGCUUCAGCUGUAUAAAAAUAACCCAAUUUGUGGGC